CCACAGCACUUUAGAAAUAUAGUUACCAAACAGCAAACAACUUUUUAUAAACGCUCUGCUUCAGACAGCUCUACUUCCAAAAGCUCUACUACUAACAGCUCCCCCAAACAGGGCCUAAGUCUUUUUUCGAUCCAGCAUAAGCAAUAUGGUCAGAUUUUCUGUAUGUGCAUGUGUGGGGUUUAGGUGUGUGUGUGCUACCAGACCUGCUAUUUCUUUAGAUUAGUCAUGUGGGAAGAUUGUUGCAUAGCCAGGGUUUUUCUACCAUAAACAACCACAACUUAUAAGGUUUCUGCACACUGUUGAUUGAAAGACUUGUAUUGCCAUAGAGUGAUUAGCCACAACUUGAAAACAUAAAAGCUUGGCACUCUUUUGCCCUACAAUUCAUGCACAUGUUUUCUAUUUUUUCAUUUUCAGUGAUCCUAUUUAAAAAGAAUGUAGCAUACCAUUCUGCUCAACUCAUCAACUUCAGGUAGUUCUUUGGACAAAUAGUUGUGUCACCAGUAAUUUCUACCAUCAACAACUUACAAGCCUUCUGCCAAUUGUCGAUUAAUUAAGUUGUGUUUCAAUUGAAUGACUAACCACAACUUUACUUCAUAAACACUCCAUGCUCUAGAGAUCUUCCUUUUACUAUUUUUCCAAUUUUUGUUAAGGGCAAUAUGAUAAUGGAAAGGAGCAAACACAUAGAUUUGUUUGCAGACCUUCCCUAGCAAUAGAACUCACUACUAACGCAUUAAUAUUGUGAAAUCCCAUAUAACAUGACUGAAUAGAUGCUGCAGCUAAUGCUGCAACUACCCACAGAAUUUCAAACCUUAAAAAAUAAAAACCAACGUAUGCCGUACAUGCCCGAACUUGGCAGUACGGAACAUACCAUACUGUACCAGUUUGGUACAUACGGAUAGCGUACCGACACUCGGUAUGCUAAUAAAAACUCCGUACCG
rnacentral:lncRNA from 1 species